CCCUAGCCCUGAUAGCAGUGGAAAUCCUUUUGUGCUGGGGUUCAGCACAAAAGAUUGAAACGGAUAGCAGGAUUAGCU
rnacentral:sRNA from 1 species